ensembl:lncRNA novel transcript
CGUCUCCCCCUCCCCCCCACCAUCCCGGCCUCGCGCCGAUUCGCCCGGAGUGGCCGAGCUGCGCGGCUACGGCUUCAUUGUCAGUUGAAAGACGCGGUUUCGCGCGCCUGUGCGGUCGGCGAGAAAGGGUACUAGGCGGCUCCGCUAGGUUCAUGGAGCUGAGCUGGGCCGAGGGGCGGGAACUGCGGAGCGGCCUCGGUCAAACUCGUCUUAAAGGACGCGGAAAGCGCCGCACCGACCAGCAGGACGCUCGCGGGCUCUCCGCGGUCGUGACUUUUAACCCGCUUUGCGCGGAGCCCUCACCACGUGACGGCCGCGCAGGCGCAUUAUCCUAGCCCUCGGCGCGUGGGUCGGGCCGAGGGGUUCAGCAGCCCGUGGCGCUCCUCGGCUGGCGCUGCGAGUGAGCCCGCGGCGGCAGUGACACAGCCUACCUUGCUCAUUGCCCUUCACGUCCCGCCUCCGGCUUCUGCGGCCGCGGGAAUCCGAGAAUGUGAGCAAAGACAAGUUUUCCGACACCGAAAACUCGUUGGAACCGGCAAGCGCGCCCCUAGCUCCGGCAGGCAAAAUGCGACCUUCUCUCGCCCUUUUUCGUUUGUACUCCGAAUUGCGAAAGUACUGUAUGUUCACUGGAAAUAUGGGAAAAUGCAGAAAUACAUUAACGGCUGCAUACAUUCCGUCGAGUGAGUGAAACUAACUUACCCUGGACGUUAAGCUGUUUCCAGUUCUCACUUUACUAAAUAAUAAUAGAACGAAGGUUCUUGUGCACGUCUACCUUGUAUUUUUAUAAUUCCUUUCCUUUCCCCACUUCCCUCCUUGUCCGCUAAAAUAAAGUGCUACCAGAUAAACUCAGGGCAAAAUGAGCUUAAACUAAGUGAGGUAGUGGGGAGACUCGAAUUGCUCUUAUAUAAACCCCAUAGAAAGUACGGAGCUUUCGGCGUAAUCGGUGCUCAGUAAAUACUUGUUCAUGUCAAUUCACAGCUAAUUGUACAUUUUAUUAGGUAAGUAACAUCUGGAUAUUAAAGGGCAUAUUAAUGUAAAACUAUAAAGGCCCUGAAUUAUUUUCUUAGGUGAUUUAAAUUUUUCUCUUUAACUACAAAUUGUGUUUCAAUAUUAAUAGAAGUCUUAAAAUAUUAGAUAAAUGAACCCUAGUUAUUUUGAGGUAGCUCCUUGAAAGUAAGGCAACUCCAGCUACCCUUUUAACCUGCUAAGUGGUUACGUUUUGUCUUGUUUCCUUAAAAAAACCAUAAAUAGUCUUAUUAAGGAAAUAAUGAAAAGGUUUCCAGAAAUAGACUUUCUCACCAACAGUUUAAUAGCCGACAUUUAUUGAACGUACACAUUUUAAUGAGAAUUAGGAUAAAAUAUUAACUGCCUCUGUUAUACAGAGAAAGAUGACAUGCUUUUCCUCAUAGCCCAAACGGUACAUGCUGAAAUGACAGCAGAGGAUUUUUGUCUGUGUUCCCUGAACCAAAGUUUUAUCAGUCUAAAAUAAAAUUUGUGUUUUUAUUUUAAU